GCUGCCAUUAUUAUCCAGUUGGCUAAAGUACCAGUGUACCACACGCUCCUCCAGAGUGUGACUUGGAUCUGGCUCAGAGAACCUAGGCCCAAAGAAUACCAAUCCCACCACUCAGAUUCCUCAGAAUGUCUCCCAAAAACAGAAGUCAGAGCCACGUGGGAUCAUUUCCUGAGAAUCAAUGACACACAAGGAACUGGGCUGACCUAUGGGAAAAGAAAAGAUGAUUGUUGUCAGCUAGACAGAGAAUGUGCUUCUCCCGACUAGAAGAAUCUUGCAUUAGAAGAGCUUUAGAAGUCAUCUAGUCCAGCCACCCAUUCUAUGAAUAUUCCUACAGUAUGCCUCACAAGAGCUCCAGUGACUGGGAGCCUUUCUGUAGAAGCAACAUUUUUCAUAGCUGGAAAACCAAGUAUUUGGAAGAUCUUCCUUAUAUUGAAACAAAAUCUGCUUCUUGCCUACUGGGAACAAAAUGAAUGUUUUCCCUUCA